CUAAUACAUGCAAGUCGAGCGAAUGACGAAGAAGCUUGCUUCUUCUGAUUUAGCGGCGGACGGGUGAGUAACACGUGGGCAACCUGCCCUGUAGAUUGGGAUAACUCCGGGAAACCGGGGCUAAUACCGAAUAAUCCAUUUCCUCUCAUGGGGAGAUGUUAAAAGACGGCAUCUCGCUGUCACUACAGGAUGGGCCCGCGGCGCAUUAGCUAGUUGGGGAGGUAACGGUUCACCAAGGCGACGAUGCGUAGCCGACCUGAGAGGGUGAUCGGCCACACUGGGACUGAGACACGGCCCAGACUCCUACGGGAGGCAGCAGUAGGGAAUCUUCCACAAUGGACGAAAGUCUGAUGGAGCAAUGCCGCGUGAGUGAAGAAGGUUUUCGGAUCGUAAAACUCUGUUGUGAGGGAAGAACAAGUAUGAGAGUAACUGCUCGUACCUUGACGGUACCUCAUUAGAAAGCCACGGUUAACUACGUGCCAGCAGCCGCGGUAAUACGUAGGUGGCAAGCGUUGUCCGGAAUUAUUGGGCGUAAAGCGCGCGCAGGCGGUCCUUUAAGUCUGAUGUGAAAUCCCACGGCUCAACCGUGGAAGGUCAUUGGAAACUGGGGGACUUGAGUACAGAAGAGGAAAGCGGAAUUCCAAGUGUAGCGGUGAAA
rnacentral:rRNA from 1 species